rnacentral:ncRNA from 1 species
UAUCUUCAGGGCGGGGCGUAAUUCCCCACCGGUGGUAAAGCCCACGAGCUACAGUGUUAGCAUGAUUUGGUGAAAUUCCAAAGCCGACAGUUAAAGUCUGGAUGAAAGAAGGUA